GUUUGAUCCUGGCUCAGGAUGAACGCUAGCGGCAGGCCUAAUACAUGCAAGUCGAACGGUAACAUUGGUGCUUGCACCAGAUGACGAGUGGCGCACGGGUGCGUAACGCGUAUGCAAUCUACCUUUUACUAGAGUAUAGCCCAGAGAAAUUUGGAUUAAUCCUCUAUAAUAUCUUUAAGUUUCAUGACUUUUAGAUUAAAGUUUUAACGGUAAAAGAUGAGCAUGCGUCCUAUUAGUUUGUAGGUGAGGUAACGGCUCACCUAGACUACGAUAGGUAGGGGCCCUGAGAGGGGGAUCCCCCACACUGGUACUGAGACACGGACCAGACUCCUACGGGAGGCAGCAGUAAGGAAUAUUGGACAAUGGACGAAAGUCUGAUCCAGCCAUGCCGCGUGCAGGAUGAAAGCCCUAUGGGUUGUAAACUGCUUUUAUACAGGAAGAAACACUCGUACGUGUACGAGCUUGACGGUACUGUAAGAAUAAGGACCGGCUAACUCCGUGCCAGCAGCCGCGGUAAUACGGAGGGUCCGAGCGUUAUCCGGAAUCAUUGGGUUUAAAGGGUCCGCAGGCGGUCUUUUAAGUCAGAGGUGAAAGCCUACAGCUCAACUGUAGAACGGCCUUUGAUACUGAAAGACUUGAGUUAUUAUGAAGUGGUUAGAAUGUGUGGUGUAGCGGUGAAAUGCAUAGAUAUCACACAGAAUACCGAUUGCGAAGGCAGAUCACUAAUAAUAUACUGACGCUCAUGGACGAAAGCGUGGGGAGCGAACAGGAUUAGAUACCCUGGUAGUCCACGCCGUAAACGAUGGAUACUAGCUGUUCGUCUAACAUUGGUUAGAUGAGUGGCUAAGCGAAAGUGAUAAGUAUCCCACCUGGGGAGUACGGUCGCAAGACUGAAACUCAAAGGAAUUGACGGGGGCCCGCACAAGCGGUGGAGCAUGUGGUUUAA
rnacentral:rRNA from 1 species